GAUGAACGCUGGCGGCGUGCUUAACACAUGCAAGUCGAACGAGAAAUGGAGACGGAAACCUUCGGGCGGAAGGCUUCAUUUCGAGUGGCGGACGGGUGAGUAACGCGUGGGUAACCUGCCUCAUACAGGGGGAUAACAGUUGGAAACGACUGUUAAUACCGCAUAAGACCACAGCACCGCAUGGUGCGGGGGUAAAAACUCCGGUGGUAUGAGAUGGACCCGCGUUCGAUUAGCCAGUUGGCGGGGUAACGGCCCACCAAAGCGACGAUCGAUAGCCGAUCUGAGAGGAUGACCGGCCACAUUGGGACUGAGACACGGCCCAAACUCCUACGGGAAGCAGCAGUGGGGAAUAGUGCACAAUGGGGGAAACCCUGAUGCAGCGACGCCGCGUGAGUGAAGAAGUACUUCGGUAUGUAAAGCUCUAUCAGCAGGGAAGAAAAUGACGGUACCUGAGUAAGAAGCCCCGGCUAACUACGUG
rnacentral:rRNA from 1 species